GAUGAACGCUGGCGGCGUGCCUAAUACAUGCAAGUCGAGCGAACGGACGAGAAGCUUGCUUCUCUGAUGUUAGCGGCGGACGGGUGAGUAACACGUGGAUAACCUACCUAUAAGACUGGGAUAACUUCGGGAAACCGGAGCUAAUACCGGAUAAUAUUUUGAACCGCAUGGUUCAAAAGUGAAAGACGGUCUUGCUGUCACUUAUAGCUGGAUCCGCGCUGCAUUAGCUAGUUGGUAAGGUAACGGCUUACCAAGGCAACGAUGCAUAGCCGACCUGAGAGGGUGAUCGGCCACACUGGAAGUGAGACACGGUCCAGACGCCUACGGGAGGCAGCAGUAGGGAAUCUUCCGCAAUGGGCGAAAGCCUGACGGAGCAACGCCGCGUGAGUGAUGAAGGUCUUCGGAUCGUAAAACUCUGUUAUUAGGGAAGAACAUAUGUGUAAGUAACUGUGCACAGCUUGACGGUACCUAAUCAGAAAGCCACGGCUAACUACGUG
rnacentral:rRNA from 1 species